rnacentral:RNase_P_RNA from 1 species
CCUGCCGGACAGGCAGUCGCGGGGGCUUCGAAGCCGGCAACGGCAUUGCGGCCCGCGAGGAAAGUCCGGUCUCCGUAGGGCAGCGUGCCGGUUAACGGCCGGGGGGAUCCGCCUCAAGGCGGGUUUUACGGAAAGUGCCACAGAAAAUAUACCGCCCGGGCUGCGGCUUGGGUAAGGGUGAAAAGGUGCGGUAAGAGCGCACCGCGCCGGGAGCAAUUCCGGUGGCAGGGAAAACCCCACGCGGAGUAAGACCAAAUAGGGGAGAAGGGGCGGCCCGCCCUGUUCGACUUCCGGGUAGGUUGCUUGAGCCGGGUAGAGAUACACGGCCUAGAGGAAUGACUGCCACCUUUCUCACUGAGGAAGGCACAGAAACCGGCUUAUCGUCCGGCAGGUUCC